CGCUGGCGGCGUGCCUAAUACAUGCAAGUCGAGCGAACAGACGAGGAGCUUGCUCCUCUGACGUUAGCGGCGGACGGGUGAGUAACACGUGGAUAACCUACCUAUAAGACUGGGAUAACUUCGGGAAACCGGAGCUAAUACCGGAUAAUAUAUUGAACCGCAUGGUUCAAUAGUGAAAGACGGUUUUGCUGUCACUUAUAGAUGGAUCCGCGCCGCAUUAGCUAGUUGGUAAGGUAACGGCUUACCAAGGCAACGAUGCGUAGCCGACCUGAGAGGGUGAUCGGCCACACUGGAACUGAGACACGGUCCAGACUCCUACGGGAGGCAGCAGUAGGGAAUCUUCCGCAAUGGGCGAAAGCCUGACGGAGCAACGCCGCGUGAGUGAUGAAGGUCUUCGGAUCGUAAAACUCUGUUAUUAGGGAAGAACAAAUGUGUAAGUAACUAUGCACGUCUUGACGGUACCUAAUCAGAAAGCCACGGCUAACUACGUGCCAGCAGCCGCGGUAAUACGUAGGUGGCAAGCGUUAUCCGGAAUUAUUGGGCGUAAAGCGCGCGUAGGCGGUUUUUUAAGUCUGAUGUGAAAGCCCACGGCUCAACCGUGGAGGGUCAUUGGAAACUGGAAAACUUGAGUGCAGAAGAGGAAAGUGGAAUUCCAUGUGUAGCGGUGAAAUGCGCAGAGAUAUGGAGGAACACCAGUGGCGAAGGCGACUUUCUGGUCUGUAACUGACGCUGAUGUGCGAAAGCGUGGGGAUCAAACAGGAUUAGAUACCCUGGUAGUCCACGCCGUAAACGAUGAGUGCUAAGUGUUAGGGGGUUUCCGCCCCUUAGUGCUGCAGCUAACGCAUUAAGCACUCCGCCUGGGGAGUACGACCGCAAGGUUGAAACUCA
rnacentral:rRNA from 17 species